rnacentral:lncRNA from 1 species
CCUAAACCCAAGCGGUUUUCUUUUCAUGUUAGAAACAAACAUUUUGUGUAACCAUUUUUAGGAGUUAUGGACAACAUAUUUUAAGGAUUUAUUCUCUAAUCUUUCGUAAUAAUAGCAAAUGACUGAAACUGGACACCUGGAGUGGUUACUUUUUUCACCCUUUGCUCAUUCUCCUCCCUUCACGUUCUCUCCCCAUAACAAAACGUCGCCGAAUUCCUUUAGUUUUUGGCUGUCGGCGUUGAGAAAUGUUUAAGGAACAAAAUGUUGGAUUGAUUGAAUAGAUGAAAAUCAGUACAUAUAACCCUCUAAAGAACGUAGUGUAAGGAGCGGAAAAGAGAUAGAAAAUUCAUCAUCUCCAUGGAUGAAAAAGAGUGAGAAGGAUAACGUAGAGGAGGAGGAGGAGGGCGCGUAACGGGACAGCACGGAGGAUAACAAGUUGUAAAGUCCAAGAAAACUAUGGAAAUGUAUGAUUUUUGACAGCAGGGCAUAAUUUGCAAACACAUUCCACCAAAAAAGGACCUUGAGAAUGGAUGGAGAAAAAGAAAAAGAGCUGGAGAGAGGAGAUGAAAAAGAGAGUGAUGAGACAGAGGAGGAUGCAGAGGGGGCAGCCUUAUUAUGGCACGGGGGAUACCCUGAUGAUGAACUGGGCUUACCCAUCAUGCACUGGGAGGAUCUGAGUCUUCGUAUUGCUGAACUUGAGAAGCAACAAGAAGAGCGGAGACAGAGGGAAAAGGACUUGGACAGGCUGACAGUAGACUGGCCAGAAAUCAGAGGGCUGAGCAGUCACAGAGAGCCCUGUGAGGACAUGGAGGACGAAUGCAACAGUCGUCUGACUGCUCUGACAUCAAGGCUUCAGAGCCAGAUGAAUCUACAGCUCUGCUUCAUCAACAACAGUGAAAGUGAAGAGGAAGAAGAGGAAAUGGAGGCAAAGAAAGAGGUGGCAAAACAGUCCAGUAAGAGUGGCAGCAAUCAGAGGUUAGAGAAGGAAUGUGGUUCAAGCUCUGCAUCGACAAAGAAAACCAAAUCAAGAGGGUUCAAGAAUGAUGUCAGAGCUGCACUGAGUGUACUCAGACAUAAAUUGAGAUUGGAGCAAAAACAGACUAUACCUCCCAGUGAGGCUGUCAGAGAAAGGAAGCACUAUGAACGAAAUGACUUAAAGAAUUUCAGCUUGAAGGAGUUGAAAGCAUUGAGGACCUCACUAAGCAAAGACAUCCAUGACCUCAGUUCAGAGCUGGUGGGUCGACUUCUCACAAGGGACCAGCUAAGAACAGAGCAGGACGCCAUGCUACUGGAGGUACAAGAUAUGACAUCACUCUGAUGCACAAUCAGAAAAAAAAAAGUAUGUCCACUAAGGAACAAAAUGACGGGACCUUUCCUUUACAAGACUGUCCAUGAGCUGCCUGAACUAAUUGACUUUACUGUGAAAAGCUACAGCACUCCAUCAUCACUUUGAAACCCUUUAAAGGUUUUUAUAGUUUUUCAUUUCAGCUUUUUUAUUGACAUUUUUAAGGCACCGAUGAGGAUUUAAAACUGCAGUUUACACUCUUACAGUUGCAAGAUCAGACUGAUAAAGCAACAAAGUGAGAAAAGGCCACAUUCAAAGCAACAAAAGACAAUUUUUUGCUCAAUAUUACUCUAAUUUGUUUAGUGGCAAAGCCAAUUAUGCCAAGCCUCACAUGUUAAGACAUGGCUCAUUAAAUGCUACAAAGUAUGAACAAAGAGUGAAAAAUUGAAGGGGGUCUGAAUACUUUCCGUACCCACUGUACAUUGCUAAGCAACUCUUAACUGGAUUGUUUGUGUCACUGUUUGUGAAAUACUUAAAUAUUAUUUUGUGGAAUAAAAGGGAACUCAGAAAGAUCGUAUAUGUGUACUGUUUUGUUGUAAUGGUAUAUUAUUGCUCUUCUGUUGUGU